GAUGAAGAACGCAGCGAAAUGCGAUACGUAAUGUGAAUUGCAGAAUUCAGUGAAUCAUCGAAUCUUUGAAUGCACAUUGCGCCCUUUGGUAUUCCUUAGGGCAUGCCUGUUCGAGCGUCAUUUAAACCUUCAAGCUAAGCUUGGUGUUGGGUGACUGUCCGCUUCACGGCGGACUCGCCUCAAAAUUAUUGGCGGCCGGUACAUUGGCUUCGAGCGCAGCAGAAACGCGAACUCGGGCCCGUCGUAUUGGCUCCCAGAAGCUAUCUUCACAAUUUUGACCUCGGAUCAGGUAGGGAUACCCGCUGAACUUAAGCAUAUCAAUAAGCGGAGGA
rnacentral:misc_RNA from 1 species